UACGUAGGGGGCAAGCGUUGUCCGGAAUCAUUGGGCGUAAAGCGUGUGUAGGCGGAUGCCUAAGUACCUUGUGAAAUCCCACGGCUCACCCGUGGAACUGCUUGGUAUACUGGGUGUCUUGAGCCACUUAGGGGCUACCGGAACAAAUGGUGGAGCGGUGAAAUGCGUAGAUAUCAUUUGGAACGCCAACGGUGAAAACAGGUAGCUGGGAGUGUGCUGACGCUGAGACACGAAAGCCAGGGGAGCAAACGGG
rnacentral:rRNA from 1 species